AACGAACGCUGGCGGCAGGCCUAACACAUGCAAGUCGAACGCAUCGCAAGAUGAGUGGCGCACGGGUGAGUAACACGUGGGAAUGUAUCCUUUGGUUCGGAAUAACGUCUGGAAACGGACGCUAAUACCGGAUGAGCCCUUAGGGGGAAAGAUUUAUCGCCGAAGGAGCAGCCCGCGUCUGAUUAGGUAGUUGGGGGGGUAAAGGCCUACCAAGCCGACGAUCAGUAGCUGGUCUGAGAGGAUGAUCAGCCACACGGGGACUGAGACACGGCCCAGACUCCUACGGGAGGCAGCAGUGGGGAAUAUUGGACAAUGGGCGCAAGCCUGAUCCAGCCAUGCCGCGUGAGUGAUGAAGGCCUUCGGGUUGUAAAGCUCUUUCGCACACGACGAUGAUGACGGUAGUGUGAGAAGAAGCCCCGGCUAACUUCGUGCCAGCAGCCGCCGUAACAC
rnacentral:rRNA from 1 species